GACGAACGCUGGCGGCGUGCUUAACACAUGCAAGUCGAACGGAAAGGCCCUGCUUUUGUGGGGUGCUCGAGUGGCGAACGGGUGAGUAACACGUGAGUAACCUGCCCUUGACUUUGGGAUAACUUCAGGAAACUGGGGCUAAUACCGGAUAUGAGCUCCUGCUGCAUGGUGGGGGAUGGAAAGUUUCGGCGGUUGGGGAUGGACUCGCGGCUUAUCAGCUUGUUUGUGGGGUAGUGGCUUACCAAGGCUUUGACGGGUAGCCGGCCUGAGCGGGUGACCGGCCACAUUGGGACUGAGAGAGGGCCCAGACUCCUACGGGAGGCAGAAGGGGGGAAUAUUGCACAAUGGGCGGAAGCCUGAUGCAGCAACGCCGCGUGCGGGAUGACGGCCUUCGGGUUGUAAACCGCUUUCGCCUGUGACGAAGCGUGAGUGACGGUAAUGGGUAAAGAAGCACCGGCUAACUACGUG
rnacentral:rRNA from 1 species